UGGGGAAUAUUGCACAAUGGGCGCAAGCCUGAUGCAGCCAUGCCGCGUGUGUGAAGAAGGCCUUCGGGUUGUAAAGCACUUUCAGCGGGGAGGAAGGCGAUAAGGUUAAUAACCUUGUCGAUUGACGUUACCCGCAGAAGAAGCACCGGCUAACUCCGUGCCAGCAGCCGCGGUAAUACGGAGGGUGCAAGCGUUAAUCGGAAUUACUGGGCGUAAAGCGCACGCAGGCGGUCUGUCAAGUCGGAUGUGAAAUCCCCGGGCUUAACCUGGGAACUGCAUUCGAAACUGGCAGGCUAGAGUCUUGUAGAGGGGGGUAGAAUUCCAGGUGUAGCGGUGAAAUGCGUAGAGAUCUGGAGGAAUACCGGUGGCGAAGGCGGCCCCCUGGACAGAGACUGACGCUCAGGUGCGAAAGCGUGGGGAGCAAACAGG
rnacentral:rRNA from 1 species